UUGAUUGCACAAAAAUCGUUGAUAAUUUCUAUCGAACUACCAUGGCUAAUCCCGAAAUAGAGAGAACAUAUUCAAAUCAUAAUUUUCCUGUGUGCUGCGCUCCGACUCCAAAUUGGUAAUAUUUAUAACCACAAUCAACGACAAGCUGCUUCUAAAGUAUGAAGAUUAUUACUAUAGCAAAGGACCUAAAUCGAAAAUUAUGCAGCUUUGUUGUUCGACGAAGACAAAAAGUAUAUUUUAUAAAGACAGUCAACGACAAACUGAUUCUCCAGUUUGAAGGAUAUUAUUACGCCAAAGCACCUUAUUCAAAACAAAGAUGGCGUUGCAUCAACACUAACUACUGCUACGCAGCCAUACUGUUCGAUGAAAAAAAUAGCGUCAUUGUAAAAGGAUCAUCCGACCAUUUACACCCUCCAAAAAAGAAAUUCGUGAGAACUGAAGAUGGCAGAUAUAAAAUGAUUAAAUCGUUAAAACGAGAUUUGUAUUAGAAAGAUGCAUAAGUUUAACAGAUGAAGGGUUUACCUCCUAAUAUUUGUAAAUAAUUGGAGUUUAGAAUAUAUUCUUUAAAAAGUCAUUAAAUAUUUUAUUUAUUUCUAUCACCGAAAUAAAAUUUCUUGGUCUUCGUUUUUUGUGACUGCAUCUAAGUAUGAACUAUGACAAACAUAAUAAGAUUGUUUUAUGGGUGACUCAACUAUCUACGCCAGAAUACAUAUCUUGUAAAAUCAACACUAAGUUUCUAUUAAAUGGGUUGGCAAUAUACUAUACCUAUGGAGAUUUUUUUUGAAACUUCAGUUUAGAUAUUGGAAUUAUCCCUAUCCAAUUUUUGAAAGAACUGUCGGGAAUCAGAAGACGAGAUCACAAAAUUUUACCAGUUAACGUUAUACCUACCAAAUAUUUCGUUCACGAGUUUCGAGUAGUACUUUUACUGCGGUUCUGCUAGACGAUAUCGAUUUCUUUAUCGAAUACCAAUUAUUAUAAUAUUUUAAAGGAAUGUAGCCUAAAAUACUUGCUUUUGAAUGUUUAAACUUAAUGGCUACUGAUAGACAUUAUAGUACGGCCAAAGAUGAAGGGCUGAAAGGUUAUUCUCACUUUGCUGACGCAGUUUGUAUGCUCUUUCAGCUAUCGUGCCCUUGACUGCUGCAGAAAGGCAAAGGAAAUAUAAACAAAGCUUAAAACAUGACCCUGAAAAGUAUGAAGCGUAUAAAAAGAAAAGACGUGAAUAUUACCACAAAAAUAAAAGACUAGUAAAGGAUCUGACAGCAAAAGAAAAAUUUAACGCUAGAGUUAUUUGGAGGUUGAGAAAGAGACAAUCAAGAUAUCGGCAGCAAAUCUAAAGGAUUAAGAUCUAGCAAGUAAUGGCGAUUCGGGAGCUUGGCUAGGGAUAUGUAGGUAGUUACCUCGAGUGAAAAUUAAUAUUGUCAAUUAUAACUAAUUCUUGUCAUCAAUCAUCUGGCCCCAACGAUAUAUUAAGAUUUGUUCUUUCGUUAUUUUUAUAAAUAUUCAUAUAUUUAUUUCAUAUUUUUCAUAAAUUAUUUUUUUUUAUGUUUCCUAUAAUCUGUUCUGUUUCUUCCUUGUAUAAAAAAUAGAAAUAAUAAAUCAGUUCUGCAUC